AUUGAACGCUGGCGGCAGGCCUAACACAUGCAAGUCGAGCGAGCGGCGGACGGGUGAGUAAUGUAUGGGGAACUGCCCGAUAGAGGGGGAUAACUACUGGAAACGGUGGCUAAUACCGCAUACUAUCGGAUGAACCCAUAUGGGAUUAGCUAGUAGGUGGGGUAAAGGCUCACCUAGGCGACGAUCUCUAGCUGGUCUGAGAGGAUGAUUGUCCACACUGGGACUGAGAGACGGCCCAGACUCCUACGGGAGGCAGCGGUGGGGAAUAUUGCACAAUGGGCGCAAGCCUGAUGCAGCCAUGCCGCGUGUAUGAAGAAGGCCUUAGGGUUGUAAAGUACUUUCAGCGGGGAGGCGUUACUCGCAGAAGAAGCACCGGCUAACUCCGUGCCAGCAGCCGCGGUAAUUC
rnacentral:rRNA from 1 species